rnacentral:rRNA from 1 species
UACAGAGGUCCCGAGCGUUGUUCGGAUUCAUUGGGCGUAAAGGGUGUGUAGGAGGUUGGGUAAGUCGGAUGUGAAAUCUCACCGCUUAACGGUGAAAUGGCGUUCGAUACUGCUCAGCUAGAGGAUCGGAGGGGAGAGCGGAAUUCUUGGUGUAGCAGUGAAAUGCGUAGAUAUCAAGAGGAACACCGGUGGCGAAAGCGGCUCUCUGGAAGAUUCCUGACUCUGAAACACGAAAGCUAGGGGAGCAAACGGG